rnacentral:rRNA from 1 species
UACGUAGGGUGCAAGCGUUGUCCGGAAUUAUUGGGCGUAAAGAGCUCGUAGGCGGUCUGUCGCGUCGGCUGUGAAAUCCCGAGGCUCAACCUCGGGUCUGCAGUCGAUACGGGCAAACUGGAGUGUUGCAGGGGAGACUGGAAUUCCUGGUGUAGCGGUGAAAUGCGCAGAUAUCAGGAGGAACACCGGUGGCGAAGGCGGCGAUCUGGCCCAACAUUGACACUGAGACCCGAAAGCGUGGGGAGCGAACGGG